ensembl:lncRNA
CAAAAGCCUUAUGGUACAUACUGAAUUAUAUAACAAUUCUACAGCAAUAAUAUAACACCUAUUUUGAGAAUUUGUUUGAUUAUGAUGAACAGUUGCUUUGAUUUUAUCCAGUGCCUAAGAAUACUACUGACCAUCCAUCAUUCUCGAUGCAACAAUGUCAGCACCAGCCUCUUAAAGCUGCAUGUUAUUUAGACCACAUGAAUCAACACUCAUCCCCCCUUCUAUCCAGUUUUCCAGCUGCACUUUGACAUUGAGACACACUUAACUCCUAUACACUUUGUAAAGGCGAGUCGCCAUUCAUCCCAGCAACAACAGCUGACUGAAGGAGAAGCCUGUGACUAGAUUACAGUGGGUCUGAGGGGCUGUCAAAGGACCAAUAGAUAUGUCAGCUGGAGAGAUGGUGGAGGAGGUAGAGGGCCAGUAUCAGACAAACCAGAUUACACCGAUAGACUGGAGUCCAAGGUGACCCCAAAAUAAUGCACUACAUUCUUAAAAGGACAGCAUUCAUGUCAUUACUACUGGAUCAAAGCAAUGAUGUUACUCCACUUAGCUGAACGUUGUACUGUCUAUGGUGCUGUCUGUAGUCUACACCAGGCAAAGAGACAUGAUGGCGGGUUCGGGUGAAUAAGGCUAUUUCCCUCAAAUGGGACACUCAGGAAUUUAUGUAAGCUGCGCUUAGAUGUCUUAAUGCAAUGAUAAAUUGCUGUCGUCUGAUACGUACUGUCGAACAGCCCCAGUGUGUGGCUACAGUACCAUAUCUGCAUGUCCAUACAGAACAGGCGGGACAGUACAAGAAGUGCACGUUCAGUCCAGUCUGGGGGACUCUGGUUAGGCAACAGGUUUGCUGGGAGGAGGUGCUCUGGAAAGGGCAGAAGUAGGGUGGGCUGCUGCAACAGGAUACCUGCCCCAACCGUAAUACAGGUCCCCACCAUAACCCAGCAGGAUACCUGCCCCAACUGUAAUGCAGGUCCCCACCAUAACCCAGCAGGAUACCUGCCCCAACCGUAAUGCAGGUCCCCACCAUAACCCAGCAGGAUACCUGCCCCAACCGUAAUGCAGGUCCCCACCAUAACCCAGCAGGAUACCUGCCCCAACCGUAAUACAGAUCCCCACCAUAACUCAGCAGGAUACCUGCCCCAACCGUAAUACAGAUCCCCACCAUAACCCAGCAGGAUACCUGCCCCAACCGCAGUACAGGUCCCCACCAUAACCCAGCAGGAUACCUGCCCCAACCGUAAUACAGGUCCCCACCAUAACCCAGCAACAUACCUGCCCCAACCGUAAUACCUGUCCCCACCAUAACCGUAAUACAGGUCCCCACCAUAACUCAGCAGGAUACCUGCCCCAACCGUAAUACAUGUCCCCACCAUAACCCAGCAGGAAUGUCAAGGAAUGACCACUUCUGUCAGUGUCCACUGCCACUGAAGCGCUUUCCCUCCAACACACACACACACACACACACACACACAUACACAGAAACACACACACACUCUCUCUAUCUCUUUUCAAUCCACAAGACGGGGUACGGUGCCUCGUCCAAGAUAGCUUUGAGAGGUCCGUUUACAUUGGUCACUGAUUAGCGGUCUGACAUGGACGUGGGUUAAGCAGCAUGUGAUCCGGGCCAGGAUCUGACCUGGGCCACAGUUAGACAGUCACAGCUGUCUCUGAGCCAGCCGGUCACAUGGGCUGUGUCUGUACGCCGGGUGGGAUGUCAUGCACCCAUGUGUUUGUGUUCUUAUAUGGGGCCAGCGGGGUACUCAUCCUUCGUCCUUGCCCGCCCCCACCCCCCACACAGACACAGUGUACCACAGACCAAACCAAGUACUAGGCACCUUACUCUUCUGUCAUUACAUCAUGACAUGCCUUCGAAUAGAAUCAAAGGUCACACUACACUACAUAUUUACUGUAAACUGGGCUUCGGGACAUAACAAAACUACAGUAACUUAUAUUAAGUGAAGUCUUCUAUGCUUACAAUUGUAAACAUACAGUAUAUUCAGUGCUCUAUAGCUGUUUUGUACCUUUCUGAAGUUGUCUUUGUUAUUGUUAACCAGACUAUUUAUUCUGACAGUACAAAACUAUCUGAUGAGUGAAAUGAAAUGAAUGACUGAUGUAG